CCUACGGGAGGCUGCAGUGGGGAAUAUUGCACAAUGGGGGGAACCCUGAUGCAGCGACGCCGCGUGAGUGAAGAAGUAUUUCGGUAUGUAAAGCUCUAUCAGCAGGGAAGAAAAUGACGGUACCUGACUAAGAAGCCCCGGACAACUACGUGCCAGCAGCCGAGGCAAGACGAAGGGGGCAAGCGUGAUCCGGAUUGACUGGGGGUAAAGGGAGCGUAGACGGUUAUGCAAGUCUGAAGUGAAAGCCCGGGGCCCAACCCCGGGACUGCUUUGGAAACUGUGUGACUGGAGUACAGGAGGGGCAGGCGGAAUUCCUGGUGUAGCGGUGAAAUGCGUAGAUAUCAGGAGGAACACCGGCGGCGAAGGCGGCCUGCUGGACUGAAACUGACGUUGAGGCUCGAAAGCGUGGGGAGCAAACAGGAUUAGAUACCCGUGUAGUC
rnacentral:rRNA from 1 species